rnacentral:rRNA from 1 species
AUGGCCUCUAUGAUCGGCCUGAUACAUGCCGCCAGUUCAUUCCUUUGUCGACGACUUCCUUAUGCUCCAUUGUCAAUCCACGAUAUCUUCGCCGGCCAUCGGUACUCAUGUCAGGUGUCGUUGCCGUACUGCCUCGCCUUAUUCGAGCCACCUCCUUGGCAGCCGCUUAGGCCAUCAGUCUUACCCUCUAAAGACCCCUACUUUGGCGCCGACGACCCUCAUCUCCCUCCCCACUUUGGCAGAUUCAAAAUUCGAAAUCAUAUCCCAGCAAAGAAAACAAAAAAUCAAAAUCAAAAUCAUAUCCUCGUCCUGUGCGUGCCGGGCUGCCGGCGAAGGAAAGAUCACGACUCACGCAUGAGUGAGUGCACAGCGACGACGCUCACGCCCCGCGCCAACGGCGUCCAACUCAAACGGCCACCAACCAGCCAACCCCUCUCUCAACGGCAGCAAACGGCGUCACCUUUGGAAUCUCCUCCCAUAUCCUGGCUUUUUUUGCGUGGUGGGGGGACGGACUCCGCGACCGCCUCUCCUCUUCCUAUCCCCACACGUCAGGCGUGCCGUCCCCUCCCCGACCUCACCGGGAAACCUCCCAUCGAAGCGAAGCCAAGGCUCUCUCCUCCUCCUCCUCAAGGUAUGGAUGCGAGCCUCCGGUUUCUCCACCCCCCUCUCGUCAUGUGCGCGCCUGGGAUUGUUCCUGGCAUUCCCCCGGACCAGCAGCGUCUCAUCUUUGCUGGCAAGCAGCUCGAGGAUGGCCGCACCCUUGCAGACUACAACAUCCAGAAGGAGUCCACCCUCCACUUGGCGAAGAUCCAGGACAAGGAGGGCAUCCCCCCGGACCAGCAGCGCCUGAUCUUUGCUGGUAAGCAGCUUGAGGAUGGCCGCACCCUGGCGGACUACAACAUCCAGAAGGAGUCCACCCUUCACUUGUGUUACCAUUUGUAUCUUCGAACUUCUGCUGGUGUGCAGCAGCUUUGGGAAACACAUGUUCAUCCGGCUGAUCUUGUGCUUGGCUGCAUGCUGCGCCGUUCAUCAAAGAGAUCGUGUGGCUGUGAUCUCUCCCUCAACCUUAUCGACUCGUCUUCCUCGCAAACUAUGUUGUGCGGUCUGGUGGCCUCUCAUUCGAUGACCUCCCACGUUGCUGCAGCGUCGGUGGUGCAUGCGCGCCACUACAAAGUUGUUCGCGGUCAUUGUUGUGUCAUCGCUGGUGUUGUGGAGCUGCCGUUGCAACAAGAGUUUUAUGACAACCGCAACAACAUUUCGAAUGUAGUUUUUCACAAGUGCAAAACCUCCAAGGUUAUUCUCUGUGUUGGUCCAUAUGUUGACUAUGUGUCGCGAUGCUUUGUCAUCAUGUCGCUGGAUAGUAACCGAACCUUCACCGGCAGAGCUACAACCCUGGCCAUGCCCCCAUCUGACUGGGUUGCAUUGUCUUCAGAUGAAUCGUACGUGUCUGAUCUAGGUGCGGCACAUGUAUGUGGUCUACUGAACCUGCGGUUAUUCAGUCAGACUGUUCCAAGGCACUGGAUGGCAUUUCAAAUGGUUGUCUUACCCUCGAGCUUUGGACAUUUAAUUGCUGAGCUUAGAAGAAGACUUAUGGAAGAUCUUGAGUUUAUCCUCAGGAUUAGCCGUGAUCACGAUAGUGUUGCCGACUGCUUAGCUUCUAUUGUCACAACUAAUAUGAUAUCCAUCGGAUUGUAUCUCUAG